rnacentral:rRNA from 1 species
GAACCGGACGAACGUUAUUCGGAAUCACUGGGCUUAAAGAGUCCGUAGGCGGCUUGGGUAGGUGAGGUGUGAAAUCCCACGGGCUCAACCGUGGAAUUGCGCUUCAAACCACCAGGCUUGAGGGAGAUAGAGGAAAGCGGAACAGAUGGUGGAGCGGUGAAAUGCGUUGAUAUCAUCUGGAACACCGGUGGCGAAGGCGGCUUUCUGGGUCUCUUCUGACGCUGAGGGACGAAAGCUAGGGUAGCGAACGGGAUUAGAUACCCCGGUAGUCCUAGCUGUAAACGAUGAGCACUGGGUUGAAGGGACUUCCACAUCCUUUCAGCCGUAGCGAAAGCGUUAAGUGCUCCGCCUGGGGAGUAUGGUCGCAAAGGCUG